rnacentral:sRNA from 1 species
GGGCAGGGGGCGGCGCUUCCACUCUAACCCUAACAGGCGCUGGGCCGCUCCCCGCGUGCACGCGCUGUUUUCCUCGCUGACUUUCAGCGCGCGGCGGGAGCAGGCCGGAGCCAUCAACCAAAAAACGUCAGCGCGGCGCCGCCCCCGCCC